UACGGAGGGGACUAGCGUUGUUCGGAUUUACUGGGCGUAAAGAGCGCGUAGGCGGUGUAUUAAGUUAGAAGUGAAAGCCUGGGGCUUAACCUCAGAAAUGCUUCUAAAACUGAUACGCUAGAGUGUGGGAGAGGAUAGUGGAAUUCCUAGUGUAGAGGUGAAAUUCUUAGAUAUUAGGAGGAACACCGGUGGCGAAAGCGGCUAUCUGGAACACAACUGACGCUGAGGCGCGAAAGCGUGGGGAGCAAACAGG
rnacentral:rRNA from 1 species